CUACAAGCUUAAAGCCUGCCUUCAAGGAUCAUACUGUGAACUGAAUGUAAGUAAACUUCUUAUUACUUUUAAGAGAAGACUGUUGUGUCUUUAUUCUUUUUAAGAGGGAAUAAAAAGGGGAGUUACCAGGAUCAAGCAAAACUGGGCAAGCCAGAUUUGAUUGCUUAACUAAAGAGCUUCAAACGAAUCUGCCAACUAGCUUUCUGCAAUACAGAAGGGAAUGAACUUUGCUGCAUGACUCACUAGCUUGAGUUAGGGAGGAUAAUAUUUAAUCAAUAUAGCCUCUCCUACUAUCCACAACAUUCCCACAAUGAUUCUGCUGCAGUCCUGAUCCAGGACACCUGAAAUCCCAUCAAUUGUCAUUAGGGGCACACAGGGCUAACCAAGGAAAAGCAGGCGGCUGCUAUUAAAAUGAGGCUGCAUUUUAAAUUGUAUUUUAACCCGUAUUUUAAUAAACUGGUUUUGUUUUUUGUUUUGUUUUGUUUGUUUGUUUGUUUGUCCCCCCCUUAUGUUUUACUGUAUUUUUAUUGGUGUUAGCUGCCCUGAGCCUGGCUCUGGCUGGGGAGGGCAGGGUAUAAAUAAAUUAUUAUUAUUAUUAUUAUUAAUAAUAAUAAUAAUAAUAAUAUACGGCAGGGGUGGCCAACUCCCAAGAGACUGUGAUCUACCUCAUAGAGUUAAAAACUGGCAGUGAUCUACCCCCUUUUUGGGGGUACAGGCCAACACUGUUGAACUUUUUUUAGGGGAGCCAAAGUUGUUGAGCUUGUUUGGGGGGGGAGCCAGUGAUCUAUCAGUGAUUUACCACAGACAUCAAGUGAUCUACCGGUAGAUCACAAUCUACCUGUUGGACGUGCCUGAUAUACAGCAAGUGGAAUCCUAUUGGCUUCCUGUGUAUGUUACGGUGCUGAAUGCAGCCGCCAAGUCCUGCAAGGUAGCUAAUGAGGCUGACAUCUCAUAAGAAGGUUUCAGCGCCUCCUGUACACUUUAAUAAUUCACCACAAUAUGUAUCAUUGAUGGAGCAACACUCAUCCUUUCGAGUUUUGCAAGCUGUGAUAUGAAACAGCUGCAAAGUGGGAAGGUAAUAGGAACAUGCCAUCAGCUAAGACCGGGGGCAAUGUCAGCUGUAGGAUUUGCCUGUCGAAAGCUCUGCUUUUUUCUUUUACUGUGUUUUGUUUUUCUAGGGUACUGCCCAGGUAGGAGAUGAUAGAAUCGUAGAGUUUUUUGAGGGAAGGGGCAUUGACGGCCAUGCUUUUUUUAAAAAAAUGGUUUAGAUGAACAACUCAAUGAAAGAAUGCAAAAAUGGAACAUGAGAUAUCAGCGGACAAUAGGAAGAAUCAAGGGACACACUCCAAAAGUAGCAGCGCAGAAC